rnacentral:rRNA from 1 species
AGUGAACGCUGGCGGUAGGCCUAACACAUGCAAGUCGAACGGCAGCACAGUAAGAGCUUGCUCUUACGGGUGGCGAGUGGCGGACGGGUGAGGAAUACAUCGGAAUCUACUUUUUCGUGGGGGAUAACGUAGGUAAACUUACGCUAAUACCGCAUGCGACCUACGGGUGAAAGCAGGGGAUCUUCGGACCUUGCGCGAUUGAAUGAGCCGAUGUCGGAUUAGCUAGUUGGCGGGGUAAAGGCCCACCAAGGCGACGAUCCGUAGCUGGUCUGAGAGGAUGAUCAGCCACACUGGAACUGAGACACGGUCAAGACUCCUACGGGAGGCAGCAGUGGGGAAUAUUGGACAAUGGGCGCAAGCCUGAUCCAGCCAUACCGCGUGGGUGAAGAAGGCCUUCGGGUUGUAAAGCCCUUUUGUUGGGAAAGAAAAGCAGCAGGUUAAUACCCCGCUGUUCUGACGGUACCCAAAGAAUAAGCACCGGCUAACUUCGUG